UACAGAGGUGGCAAGCGUUGUUCGGAAUUACUGGGCGUAAAGGGCGCGUAGGCGGCCUUGUAAGUCCUGUGUGAAAUCCCCCGGCUCAACUGGGGAACUGCACAGGAGACUGCUUGGCCUGAGUUCGGGAGAGGGAAGCGGAAUUCCGGGUGUAGCGGUGAAAUGCGUAGAUAUCCGGAGGAACACCGGUGGCGAAGGCGGCUUCCUGGACCGACACUGACGCUGAGGCGCGAAAGCCAGGGGAGCAAACGGG
rnacentral:rRNA from 1 species